UGAUAAUGAGGAACUUAAACCCAUCCAAACGUCUUGGCCUAACAUCAUGUUAUUGUUUUUGAUGGUCUCUCAGGUUUCCAUGGAGAUGAGUACUCUCAGAAGGAAGCGUAUUGAGUUGCUCCAAGGGAUACAAGGUAAGAUGAUGAUUUUGUGUCAACUAAAUGACUGCUCUUUUUAUUUUAAUAAGUAGGUGUGGAUCUGGGGUUUUGGGUAACUUGUUAUAUGCAUGUAUGAACCUUUUUGUAAUGUCUUAUAAUACGGUUUUUAAUAUGUUCUGUUUUGGCUCUUGGUCUGUAUCUCAGGUGGUGACAACCUUUCCCUGCCCAGAGUGAAGAGCUGUGAAGAGGAGAUGCCUUUAGAGAUGCCCCCCUCCCUGCUGUCGCCUCUAACAGAAGCCCCUGUCACCAAUCCUAACCAGGUUCCCCUCUACCUCCCCCUCUGCUCCACGCCCCCCUCCCUGUCCCCUAGCCACCAGACCAAGCCCCAGACCCAGCCUGUCACACAGUCAGUAGUUAUCAAGCAGGAGCCCCUGUCCCCUGGUAGGGUGACCACUGAGACAGAGGUUGCGGAGAGCACAGUUACAAUCCACCAGCGACUUCACUACGGCCCUCACAGCACCACGCCAGAGCCCACGCCUAUCCCUACAGCCCCUCGCACAGAUUGUGCCCUCAGCUGCCAACCGGUAAGAGGGAGGAAGUCUGAGCAUCACAGAGCCAGCAGAGAGCUCUCUCAAGAGGACAGCAGCCUACCCGUAGGAGCAUGUGUAGAAUGGAAGGACCCCUCAGCAGGUUCACCAGGCCUGGUCCAUUCGGGAGAGAGGGGUGUCCAGGUUACCACAGAAGACAGGGGUAACUUCAAGCCCCACCCAGCCUCCCUGUCAGGCCCAUCCAGCCGCAAGAGCUCCAGAGCCGGGGUCCAGGACCUAGACACCUCCCCCGUCCUUCCUCCGUCCCUCGCUCCGUCCAUCGCUCCGCCUCAGGCGGAAGUGAAGACCGUAAAGCGCGUGAGGAAGUUGAAGAAGAAGAGGGUGCUGAGGAAGGCCAAGGGGGAGGAGCAACAGCUUGACAACAGCGACACAGAACUGGAGACGGAGACGACCUUCACCCGACCCGUCAGACUCCUCGGCACCCGCAGGAAAGCCAGUGGCGGAUGCCGACCCCAGGUCACCACAUCCUCCUCCACAUCCACCUCCAGCCCGCCCGGAGCAUCAGAGGACAAGAGAGAGCUUCCAAGGCCACCAAGGUCUCCAGCCACUAGACCCGAGGAGAAGCAGGAGGACUCUGACUCCUCUCUGGAGAUGGUCGUACUCCCCCAGGCAGCUCCAGUGGAGGUGGUCACCAUUGACACCUCAGGUCCAGAGGAUGGAGACAUGGACAUCUGCGGUGUUGCCUGUCCACAGCCACAGCCCACUGUCUCACCCCCAGCCCCAGACACACUGAAGACAGAGCCCCAGAAGCUGGCUUGCAAUGAGGUGACCUCCACCAGCGAGAUGGAUGGUAGCUCUGUAGUCAAGAGGUGAGCGUGGUAUGUCAAGUACAGGUCUGGACAGGUAUAUUGGGCAUCCUGAUGCUUUUCUCAGAUAAUUCCCAAUUUCUUCUAAAAUAAGUUGAAUUAUUAUUUUUUUAAAUAAUAAUAAAUAAAAAAAACGUAUUGUAUUUUCAACAUUUUCAGAAGUAAUUUUAUUUAUAGGUUAGGCUAUAGGUUAAAAUGCUAUAGAUUAGGCUAUAGAUUAAAAAGCUAUAGGUUAAAAUGCUAUAGAUUAGGCUAUAGAUUAAAAGGCUAUAGAUUAGGUUAAAAUGCUAUAGAUUAGGCUAUAGGUCAAAAGGCUAUAGAUUAGGCUAUAGGUUAAAAGGCUAUAGAUUAGGUUAAAAGGCUAUAGAUUAGGUUAAAAGGCUAUAGAUUAGGUUAAAAGGCUAUAGGUUAAAAGGCUAUAGGUUAGGUUAUAGAUUAGGCUAAAGGUUGAAUCCCGAUAUCGGGAUAAGAUCCCCAACAGGUUAAAAGGCUAUAGGUUAAAAGGCUAUAGAUUAGGCUAUAGGUUAAAAGGCUAAAGGUUAGGUUAAAAGGCUAUAGGUUAGGUUAUAUGUUAAAAGGCUAUAGAUUAGGUUAAAAGGCUAUAGAUUAGGUUAAAAGGCUAUAGAUUAGGUUAUAGGUUAAAAGGCUAUAGAUUAAAAGGCUAUAGUUUAGGCUAUAAAUUAAAAGGCUAUAGUUUAGGCUAUAGGUUAAAAGGCUAUAGAUUAGGCUAUAGGUUAAAAGGCUAUAGAUUAGGCUAUAGGUUAAAAGGCUAUAGAUUAGGCUAUAGGUUAAAAGGCUAUAGAUUAGGCUAUAGGUUAAAAGGCUAUAGAUUAGGCUAUAGGUUAAAAGGCUAUAGAUUAGGCUAUAGGUUAAAAGGCUAUAGAUUAGGCUAUAGGUUAAAAGGCUAUAGAUUAGGUUAUAGGUUAUUAGGCUAUAGAUUAAAAUGCUAUAGAUUAGGCUAUAGGUUAAUAUGCUAUAGAUUAGGCCAUAGGUUAAAAGGCUAUAGAUUAAAAAACUAUAGAUUAAAAGGCUAUAGAUUAGGGUAAACGGCUAUAGAUUAAAAGGCUAUAGAUUAGGUUAUAGGUUAAAAGGCUAUAGAUUAAAAGGCUAUAGAUUAGGUUAUAGGUUAAAAGGCUAUAGAUUAGGCUAUAGGUUAAAAGGCUAUAGAUUAGGUUAAAAGGCUCUAGAUUAGGUUAUAGAUUAAAAGGCUAUAGGUUAAAAGGCUAUAGAUUAAAAGGCUAUAGAUUAGGUUAUAGGUUAAAAGGCUAUAGAUUAGGUUAUAGUUUAAAAGGCUAUAGAUUAGGUUAAAAGGCUAUAGAUUAGGCUAUAGGUUAAAAGGCUAUAGAUUAGGUUAAAAGGCUAUAGAUUAGGUUAUAGAUUAAAAGGCUAUAGAUUAGGUUAAAAGGCUAUAGAUUAGGUUAUAGAUUAAAAGGCUAUAGAUUAGGUUAUAGGUUAAAAGGCUAUAGAUUAGGUUAAAAGGCUAUAGAUUAGGUUAUAGUUUAAAAGGCUAUAGAUUAGGCUAUAGGUUAAAAGGCUAUAGAUUAGGUUAAAAGGCUAUAGAUUAGGUUAUAGAUUAAAAGGCUAUAGAUUAAAAGGCAUCAAAGGGUUUUGAGGUUUCUCAUUCUUGACGUGUCUGUCCUGUCUGCUCCUCCUCUUACAGUGAAGUCCAGCUUCCCCUGACAUCUGUCAAGCUGUCCAAAACUUCCUCAGGUAGGUCACAGUUCCAAGACUUCCUCAGGUAGGUCACAGUUGCAAGACUUCCUCAGGUAGGUCACAGUUGCAAGACUUCCUCAGGUAGGUCACAGUUGCAAGACUUCCUCAGGGAGGUCACAGUUGCAAGACUUCCUCAGGGAGGUCACAGUUGCAAGACUUCCUCAGCGAGGUCACAGUUCCCCACACUAGUCCCAAGACUUCCUCAGCGAGGUCACAGUUCCCCACACUAGUCCCAAGACUUCCUCAGCGAGGUCACAGUUCCCCACACUAGUCCCAAGACUUCCUCAGGGAGGUCACAGUUCCCCACACUAGUCCAAGACUUCCUCAGGGAGGUCACAAUUCCCCACACUAGUCCAAGACUUCCUCAGGGAGGUCACAGUUCCCCACACUUAGUCCAAGACUUCCUCAGGGAGGUCACAGUUCCCCACACUUAGUCCAAGACUUCCUCGGAGGUCACAGUUCCCCACACUAGUCCCAAGACUUCCUCAGCGAGGUCACAGUUCCCCACACUAGUCCCAAGACUUCCUCAGCGAGGUCACAGUUCCCCACACUAGUCCCAAGACUUCCUCAGCGAGGUCACAGUUCCCCACACUAGUCCCAAGACUUCCUCAGGGAGGUCACAGUUCCCUACACUAGUCCAAGACUUCCUCAGCGAGGUCACAGUUCCCCACACUAUUCCAAGACUUCCUCAGCGAGGUCACAUGAUCUCACAUUCUCAGGUGGGAUAGGCUAGAUACAGACACUUUCACCAGACCAGCAUAGUCUAUUGGACCUGAUUUAGUUCCAAUACCCAGACCCUCUUGCUGGUUGGUCU
rnacentral:lncRNA from 8 species